rnacentral:misc_RNA from 1 species
GCCCAUCAACGCUCGGUCACCCCUCCAUGUACCUCGUGGCAGGGGACCCGACCAGACGCGGACAUUGGCCCUCCGAGUUUUAAACAACACGGUGGGCUCAAGUGCAUGGCCGUCGAUGGUGUCGGGAGCGGCGAGUGGUGGACUGCUUCGCACGCCAACCCCGACCCCUGUAUCGACGUAUGACCCUUUUUGACUCCCAAACAAGGAGGCUGUCGGUGCGGCGUCUCUGCCGUUCGGCAUCUUCGGACC